AGCGAACGCUGGCGGCAGGCCUAACACAUGCAAGUCGAACGAGGCCUUCGGGCUUAGUGGCGGACGGGUGAGUAACACGUGGGAACGUACCUUUUGGUUCGGAACAACUCAGGGAAACUUGAGCUAAUACCGGAUGAGCCCUUCGGGGGAAAGAUUCGCCAUUAGAGCGGCCCGCGUUAGAUUAGCUAGUUGGUGAGGUAAAGGCUCACCAAGGCUACGAUCUAUAGCUGGUCUGAGAGGAUGAUCAGCCACACUGGGACUGAGACACGGCCCAGACUCCUACGGGAGGCAGCAGUGGGGAAUCUUGCGCAAUGGGCGAAAGCCUGACGCAGCCAUGCCGCGUGAAUGAUGAAGGUCUUAGGAUUGUAAAAUUCUUUUACCAGGGACGAUAAUGACGGUACCUGGAGAAAAAGCCCCGGCUAACUUCGUGCCAGCCGCCGCUGUAACAC
rnacentral:rRNA from 1 species